UCAAAUCAUCCCACCCUCGUCUUCUCCCACAGAGUCCAAAAGACUGUUCUAUACAUAUGUGUCUCUUUUGCUGUCUUGCAUAUAGGAUCAUUGUUACCAUCUUUCAAGUUCUGUCCUAUAUGAUAUUUCCAGGAGAAAAAGUGGGGGUGAUUCAUCUAUAUUUCAUAAAGGCUUCCACGUCACCUUCCUCCUCUGACCACUCUUCCUCUGCAGCCCAAGGACUGAACGAGAAGGUUGUACCAACUAUCACCUCUGGGUAUUUUGGUUGUACAUGCACCGAUCAAAGAGAUGACUACUGGGUGGUCUUAGUGGACCAACUGUGAUGUGAAGCUCCACCAAGACUGCGUACAUAAUGUGGCCUCUGUAUGCAUCCCGUGUAAUGGGGAUGUCAGCAUGAUGCUGUGAAUUUCUGGGUAUCACUGUCAACCUGGAUUCUGCAUCCUACAGUCCUCUGGAUGUUGAUACACUCCCUUCUCCCUGGUUCAGAGUUAUCCCAAGUAAAUGGCCAUCGGUUCCUUUGGACCUAAACUGGAA